GGCCGACUAGCUCAGUUGGUUAGAGCGUGGUGCUAAUAUAUCGCUGGGGUCCCCUUUGCUACGCCAAGGUCGUCGGUUCGAUCCCGGCGUUGGCCA